GACGAAUGCUGGCUGCGUGCUUAACACAUGCAAGUCGAACGGUGAAGGAGGGCUUGCCCUCCGGAUCAGUGGCGAACGGGUGAGUAACACGUGGGCAACCUGCCCCUCACUCUGGGAUAACGCCGGGAAACCGGCGCUAAUACCGGAUACGACCAGGCGCGGCAUCUCGCCUGGUGGAAAGAAUUUCGGUGAGGGAUGGGCCCGCGGCCUAUCAGCUAGUUGGUGGGGUAACGGCCCACCAAGGCGACGACGGGUAGCCGGCCUGAGAGGGCGACCGGCCACACUGGGACUGAGACACGGCCCAGACUCCUACGGGAGGCAGCAGUGGGGAAUAUUGCGCAAUGGGCGAAAGCCUGACGCAGCGACGCAGCGUGAGGGACGAAGGCCUUCGGGUUGUAAACCUCUUUCAGCGGGGACGAAGCGAAAGUGACGGUACCCGCAGAAGAAGCACCGGCUAACUACGUGCCAGCCGCCGCGGUAAAAC
rnacentral:rRNA from 1 species